rnacentral:rRNA from 1 species
AUUGAACGCUGGCGGCAGGCCUAACACAUGCAAGUCGAGCGGAUGAAGGGAGCUUGCUCCUGUAUUCAGCGGCGGACGGGUGAGUAAUGCCUAGGAAUCUGCCUGGUAGUGGGGGAUAACGUCCGGAAACGGGCGCUAAUACCUCAUACGUCCUGAGGGAGAAAGUGGGGGAUCUUCGGACCUCACGCUAUCAGAUGAGCCUAGGUCGGAUUAGCUAGUUGGUGGGGUAAAGGCCUACCAAGGCGACGAUCCGUAACUGGUCUGAGAGGAUGAUCAGUCACACUGGAACUGAGACACGGUCCAGACUCCUACGGGAGGCAGCAGUGGGGAAUAUUGGACAAUGGGCGAAAGCCUGAUCCAGCCAUGCCGCGUGUGUGAAGAAGGUCUUCGGAUUGUAAAGCACUUUAAGUUGGGAGGAAGGGCAGUAAGUUAAUACCUUGCUGUUUUGACGGUACCAAAAGAAUAAGCACCGGCUAACUUCGUG